GUAACAAGGUUUCCGUAGGUGAACCUGCGGAAGGAUCAUUAAAGAGUAAGGGUGCUCAGCGCCCGACCUCCAACCCUUUGUUGUUAAAACUACCUUGUUGCUUUGGCGGGACCGCUCGGUCUCGAGCCGCUGGGGAUUCGUCCCAGGCGAGCGCCCGCCAGAGUUAAACCAAACUCUUGUUAUUUAACCGGUCGUCUGAGUUAAAAUUUUGAAUAAAUCAAAACUUUCAACAACGGAUCUCUUGGUUCUCGCAUCGAUGAAGAACGCAGCGAAAUGCGAUAAGUAAUGUGAAUUGCAGAAUUCAGUGAAUCAUCGAAUCUUUGAACGCACAUUGCGCCCCUUGGUAUUCCGAGGGGCAUGCCUGUUCGAGCGUCAUUACACCACUCAAGCUAUGCUUGGUAUUGGGUGCCGUCCUUAGUUGGGCGCGCCUUAAAGACCUCGGCGAGGCCUCACCGGCUUUAGGCGUAGUAGAAUUUAUUCGAACGUCUGUCAAAGGAGAGGACUUCUGCCGACUGAAACCUUUUAUUUUUCUAGGUUGACCUCGGAUCAGGUAGGGAUACCCGCUGAACUUAAGCAUAUCAAUAA
rnacentral:misc_RNA from 1 species